rnacentral:lncRNA from 13 species
AUGGCCGAAUACAAACAGUGUAGUUAUUCAAUCAAACAAGCAAAGCAUCAAUAUAGAGACAAAGUGGAUUCGCAAUUCAACGGCUCAAACACGAGAUGUAUGUGGCAGGGUCUACAGACAAUCCCGGAUAACAAAAACAAAACCAGCCCAGGCGCAGACAUCGGAUUCUUGCUCCCAGACAAAUUAAAGAACUUCUUUGCACGCUUUGUGGAAAGUACAGUGCCACUGACAAGGCCCGCUACCAAAGACUGUGGGCUCUCCUUCUCCGUGGCCGAUGUGAGUAAAACAUUUCAACUUUUUAAUCCUCACAGGGCCUGCAGCCCAGACGGAAUCACGAGCCACAUCCUCAGAGCAUGCGCAGACCAGCUGGCUGGUGUGUUUACAGACACAUUCAAUCAAUCCCUAUUCCAGUCUGCUGUCCCCAUAUUCUUUAAGAUGGCUACCAUUGUUCAUGUUCCCAAGAAAGCUAAGGUAAUUGAACUAAAUGACUAUCGCCCCGUAGCACUCACUUCUGUCAUCAUGAAGUGCUUUGAGAGACUAGUCAAGGAUCAUGUCACCCUAGACCCACUCCAAUUUGCUUACCGACCCAAUAGGUCCACAGACGAUGCAACCGCCAUCACACUGAACACUGCCCUAUCCCAUCUGGACAAGUGGAAUACCUGUGUAAGAAUGCUGUUCAUUGACUACAGCUCAGCAUUCAACACCAUAGUACCCUCCAAGCUCAUCAUUAAGCUUGAGACCCUGGGUCUCGACACCGCCCUGUGCAACUGGAUCCUGGACUUCCUGACGGGCUGCCCCCAGGUAGUGAAGGUAGGAAACAACAUCUCCACUUCUCUGAUCCUAAACACUGGGGCCCCACAAGGGUGCAUUCUCAGUCCUCUCCUGUACUCCCUGUUCCCCCACGACUGCAUGGCCAUGCACGCCUCCAACUCAAUCAUCAAGUUUGCAGAUUUCGCUACAGUGGUAGGCUUGAUUACCAACAACGAUGAGAUAGCCUACAGGGAGGAGGUGAGGGCCCUCGGAGUGUGGUGUCAGGAAAAUAACCCCUCACCCAAUCUCAGCAAAACAAAAGAGAUGAUCGUGGACUUCAGGAAACAGCAAAGGGAGCACCCCUCAUCAACAUCUACGGGACAGCAGUGA